rnacentral:miRNA from 11 species
UGUGUGUGUGAGUGUGAGUGUGUGUGUGUGUGUAUAUAUAUAUAUAUAAUACACACACACACACACAUACACAUACACAUAUACACACACAUA